rnacentral:rRNA from 1 species
UUUAUUGAAACUUCGGUCGAUUUAAUUUAAUUCUAGUGGCGGACGGGUGAGUAACGCGUGGGUAACCUGCCUUGUACAGGGGGAUAACAGUCAGAAAUGGCUGCUAAUACCGCAUAAGCGCACAGAGCUACAUGGCUCAGUGUGAAAAACUACGGUGGUAUAAGAUGGACCCGCGUUGGAUUAGCUAGUUGGUGGGGUAACGGCCCACCAAGGCGACGAUCCAUAGCCGGCCUGAGAGGGUGAACGGCCACAUUGGGACUGAGACACGGCCCAGACUCCUACGGGAGGCAGCAGUGGGGAAUAUUGCACAAUGGGGGAAACCCUGAUGCAGCGACGCCGCGUGAAGGAAGAAGUAUCUCGGUAUGUAAACUUCUAUCAGCAGGGAAGAUAGUGACGGUACCUGACUAAGAAGCCCCGGCUAACUACGUGCCAGCAGCCGCGGUAAUACGUAGGGGGCAAGCGUUAUCCGGAUUUACUGGGUGUAAAGGGAGCGUAGACGGUGUGGCAAGUCUGAUGUGAAAGGCAUGGGCUCAACCUGUGGACUGCAUUGGAAACUGUCAUACUUGAGUGCCGGAGGGGUAAGCGGAAUUCCUAGUGUAGCGGUGAAAUGCGUAGAUAUUAGG